AUGAAGAUAGCGGGAGAGUCUGCGGAUGUAUGCGAUCCGCCACCGAAGGAGCAAGCCGGCGGGAAUGCCAGCCCCCGGUCAAUCUCUCAGGUACCAUGAACCGCUGCCGGACG
rnacentral:ncRNA from 1 species